rnacentral:rRNA from 1 species
AUUGAACGCUGGCGGCAGGCUUAACACAUGCAAGUCGAGCGGAGAGAGGUAGCUUGCUACUGAUCUUAGCGGCGGACGGGUGAGUAAUGCUUAGGAAUCUGCCUAUUAGUGGGGGACAACAUUUCGAAAGGAAUGCUAAUACCGCAUACGUCCUACGGGAGAAAGCAGGGGAUCUUCGGACCUUGCGCUAAUAGAUGAGCCUAAGUCGGAUUAGCUAGUUGGUGGGGUAAAGGCCUACCAAGGCGACGAUCUGUAGCGGGUCUGAGAGGAUGAUCCGCCACACUUGGACUGAGACACGACCAAGACUCCUACGGGAGGCAGCAGUGGGGAAUAUUGGACAAUGGGCGGAAGCCUGAUCCAGCCAUGCCGCGUGUGUGAAGAAGGCCUUAUGGUUGUAAAGCACUUUAAGCGAGGAGGAGGCUACUUUAGUUAAUACCUAGAGAUAGUGGACGUUACUCGCAGAAUAAGCACCGGCUAACUCUGUGCCAGCCGCCGCCGUAAAAC